AGAGUUUGAUCCUGGCUCAGAUUGAACGCUGGCGGCAUGCCUAACACAUGCAAGUCGAACGGGAGUAGCAAUACUCUAGUGGCGGACGGGUGAGGAAUACGUAGGAAUUUGCCCUUAAGUGGGGGAUAACCCGGGGAAACCCGGAUUAAUACCGCAUGAUCUCGGAAGAGCAAAGCAGGGGAUCGCAAGACCUUGCGCUU
rnacentral:rRNA from 1 species